rnacentral:rRNA from 1 species
GUGGGGAAUAUUGCACAAUGGGGGAAACCCUGAUGCAGCAACGCCGCGUGAGUGAUGACGGUCUUCGGAUUGUAAAGCUCUGUCAUCAGGGACGAACGGCCGGUGGAGUGGAAAGCCACCGGAUUGACGGUACCUGAGAAGGAAGCCACGGCUAACUACGUGCCAGCAGCCGCGGUAAUACGUAGGUGGCAAGCGUUGUCCGGAAUUAUUGGGCGUAAAGCGCGCGCAGGUGGGAUCUUAAGUCCAUUUUGAAAGUUCGGAGCUCAACUCCGUGAUGGGAUGGAAACUGGGAUUCUUGAGUACCGGAGAGGAAAGCGGAAUUCCCCGUGUAGCGGUGAAAUGCGUAGAUAUGGGGAGGAACACCAGUGGCGAAGGCGGCUUUCUGGACGGUGUCUGACACUGAGGCGCGAAAGCUAGGGGAGCGAACGGGAUUAGAAACCCUUGUAGUCC